GAUGAACGCUGACAGAAUGCUUAACACAUGCAAGUCAACUUGAACUUCGGUUUGGGUGACGGCCGGGUGAGUAACGCGUAAAGAACUUGCCUCACAGCUAGGGACAACAUUUGGAAACGAAUGCUAAUACCUGAUAUUAUGAUUUUAGGGCAUCCUAGAAUUAUGAAAGCUAUAUGCGCUGUGAGAGAGCUUUGCGUCCCAUUAGCUAGUUGGAGAGGUAACGGCUCACCAAGGCGAUGAUGGGUAGCCGGCCUGAGAGGGUGAACGGCCACAAGGGGACUGAGACACGGCCCUUACUCCUACGGGAGGCAGCAGUGGGGAAUAUUGGACAAUGGACCAAGAGUCUGAUCCAGCAAUUCUGUGUGCACGAUGAAGUUUUUCGGAAUGUAAAGUGCUUUCAGUUGGGAAGAAAAAAAUGACGGUACCAACAGAAGAAGUGACGGCUAAAUACGUG
rnacentral:rRNA from 1 species